rnacentral:misc_RNA from 1 species
AAAGUCGUAACAAGGUUUCCGUAGGUGAACCUGCGGAAGGAUCAUUACCUUUCAAUGCAGCAGAAUUGGGAUGGUUGAGUUUCUCGCCUCUCAAUUCUGCCUGUAUUCUACCCUUGUUUGUCAUAUACUAUUAUUUCCUCGGCAGGCAAGCCUGCCGAGUGAAACCCAUUAUAACCUAUUUAAUUUUCAAUCAGCGUCUGAAAAAAUUAAUAAUUACAACUUUCAACAACGGAUCUCUUGGUUCUG